AUUGAACGCUGGCGGCAGGCUUAACACAUGCAAGUCGAGCGGGGGAAGGUAGCUUGCUACCGGACCUAGCGGCGGACGGGUGUGUAAUGCUUAGGAAUCUGCCUAUUAGUGGGGGACAACAUCUCGAAAGGGAUGCUAAUACCGCAUACGUCCUACGGGAGAAAGCAGGGGAUCUUCGGACCUUGCGCUAAUAGGUGAGCCUAAGUCGGAUUAGCUAGUUGGCGGGGUAAAGGCCUACCAAGGCGACGAUCUGUAGCGGGUCUGAGAGGAGGAUCCGCCACACCGGGACUGAGACACGGCCCAGACUCCUACGGGAGGCAGCAGUGGGGAAUAUUGGACAAUGGGGGGAACCCUGAUCCAGCCAUGCCGCGUGUGUGAAGAAGGCCUUAUGGUUGUAAAGCACUUUAAGCGAGGAGGAGGCUACUCUAGUUAAUACCUAGGGAUAGUGGACGUUACUCGCAGAAUAAGCACCGGCUAACUCUGUGCCAGCAGCCGCGGUAA
rnacentral:rRNA from 1 species